rnacentral:ncRNA from 1 species
AAGCGUUGAAAAGCUUCCGGAUGAGGUGUGUGUAGGAGUGAAAGGCCAAUCAAACUCGGAGAUAGCUCGUACUCCCCGAAAGGCAUUUAGGUGCCGCGUGUGGUGAUCCGCAUGAGAGGUAGAGCGACCGAUAGGUCAAGAGGGCUUCACCGCCUAUCGCGACCUGACGAACUCCGAAUGCUCAUGCGCCGCAGCCAUGCAGUAAGGGCGCGGGUGCUAAGGUCCGUGCCCGAGAGGAGAAGAAUCCGGACCGCCGUCUAAGGCCCCGAAGUUCUGCCUGAGUUAGUCUAACGAAGUAUGGUCUCUGUGACAGCUAGGAUGUUGGCUUGGAAGCAGCCAUUCAUUCAAAGAGUGCGUAACAGCUCACUAGUCGAGAGUCCGUGCGUGGAUAAUAAUCGGGUAUAAGGCAGACGCCGAAGGCGCGGGAUAGUAUUUAAGAAAGUAUCGGUAGGGGAGCAUUCCAUGCGCGUCGAAUCCGGGGGGUCGACCCCUGGUGGAGUGCAUGGAAAAGCAAAUGUAGGUAUAAGUAACGACUAGGAGGGCGAGAACCCCUCCCGCCAUAAGGCUAAGGUUUCCCGGGCAAUGCCAGUCAUCCCGGGGUCAGUCGGGUCCUAAGGCUCAGCCGAGCGGCGAGGCCGAUGGCCGACACGGUCAAUAUUCCGUGACUUCCUUCAGGAGCGAUGUGGUGACGCAGGAGUGACACUGCCGCGGGGCGACGGACGUCCCCGUUGAAGGUCCUAGGCGCUGAGGGGGGCAGGCAAACCCACCCCCCGAGCUGACGGCCGACAGUACGCUGUCCCCCCCGGGGGACGGUGACAGCGCAGGUAAGCAUGCUGCCGAGAAAAACCGCUAAGCUUAAUCCUGAUGGAACCCGUACCGCAGACCGACACAGGUGGCCGGGUAGAACAUACUGAGGCGUUGAGAGACUCAUGGCUAAGGAACUAGGCAAACUGACCCCGUAACCUCGGGAUAAGGGGUCCUCUCCGUAAGGUGAGGCGCAGAGAAUAGGUCCAGGCAACUGUUUAGCAAAAACACAGGGCUGUGCGAACUCGAAAGAUGAGGUAUACAGCCUGACACCUGCCCGGUGCCGGAAGGUUAAGAGGAGAUGUCACCGCAAGGGAAGCAUUGAAUUGAAGCCCCGGUAAACGGCGGCCGUAACUAUAACGGUCCUAAGGUAGCGAAAUUCCUUGUCGGGUAAGUUCCGACCUGCACGAAU